GGCUCAGAACGAACGCUGGCGGCAGGCUUAACACAUGCAAGUCGAGCGCCCCGCAAGGGGAGCGGCAGACGGGUGAGUAACGCGUGGGAAUCUACCCUUUUCUACGGAAUAACGCAGGGAAACUUGUGCUAAUACCGUAUGAGCCCUUCGGGGGAAAGAUUUAUCGGGAAAGGAUGAGCCCGCGUUGGAUUAGCUAGUUGGUGGGGUAAAGGCCUACCAAGGCGACGAUCCAUAGCUGGUCUGAGAGGAUGAUCAGCCACAUUGGGACUGAGACACGGCCCAAACUCCUACGGGAGGCAGCAGUGGGGAAUAUUGGACAAUGGGCGCAAGCCUGAUCCAGCCAUGCCGCGUGAGUGAUGAAGGCCCUAGGGUUGUAAAGCUCUUUCACCGGUGAAGAUAAUGACGGUAACCGGAGAAGAAGCCCCGGCUAACUUCGUGCCAGCAGCCGCGGUAAUACGAAGGGGGCUAGCGUUGUUCGGAAUUACUGGGCGUAAAGCGCACGUAGGCGGAUUGUUAAGUGAGGGGUGAAAUCCCAGGGCUCAACCCUGGAACUGCCUUUCAUACUGGCAAUCUAGAGUCCAGAAGAGGUGAGUGGAAUUCCGAGUGUAGAGGUGAAAUUCGUAGAUAUUCGGAGGAACACCUGUGGCGAAAGGCGGCUCACUGGUCUGGAACUGACGCUGA
rnacentral:rRNA from 1 species